GUCUUGAUUACUGCAAAGAGAACGUGGUCCCCACAGACUGGGUACAUGUUUAGACCUUCAGAGCUUAGAGGAGACCACUUUUAGGGCUAGUUUUCAGGAACACCUGGUGCUGGUGGUUUAAGGAGAAGGCAGGGUUUGGGAUGUGCUCUCCUGCAGCGCUCUGCGCGUUGAAGAACCCGGCUCUGGGCUGGACUCCCAUCAGCCGAGCACCGAGGCCACCCAGGAGAUGGUGCUCUUGAACCAGCAAACGGCGCAGCCCUGACCCAGAAGCAUCCUUCAACGCAGCCCUCCCUGUUUUCUUCUUGUGUUGCACGUUAUUCUUUGGGAUUCCCGUUUUCUUUGGGGAGAAGAAUGUGCUGGUGUUGAGCCCGGAGUGUAUUCCCCUCCGAUCCAUAAUGCGAUUCCCAGGCAGGUGAUCCUAUGCCCGCGUCUGAAAUGACGCUGGUGCUCAAAGGAGGCGUUUUUUCCCUGGACUGCGUGGCUGGCAAGAUGCUAGAGCCGAGCAGGGAGCAGCUUCGUGGCUGAUUGCCCUGACCAGAGCCUGGGACGUGCUGCACCCAAGCCAAACAUCUGCUGGGUGCUGGCUCCAUCGCUACCAAGGGUGGUGAGCAGCAAGACUGGGUGCAGGGGCUCCCCACGGCCUCCCUGCCAUCCCACAGGACAGCCUGUUCCUGCAGACACGUGUCUCGGAAAGUAUAUCUCUAGUAGAUGUGGACAAUAGUGGAAUUCAUCUAGCAAGGCAGAAUCCAAUUGCUGUAUUUUUUUCCUUCUUCUAAUAUAUGUGCUGCUUCUGCAAAGAAAAUGAAUAAUCCUCUGGGGCUUUUAUGCAUGUCUGGUUUCAUCAGAUUCAGGGGAUAUGUGAUAAGUCCUGGCGCAAAGCGCGGCUGGUUGGAUCUGGGCAGUGGUUGGAACCCGCAACGGGGGUCUAUGUAGAAAAGGGCCGGGUGCCCUCUCUCGGUCAACUUCGCAAUAGCAUCCAAAACCGAGACUGAAGUAGCACAUGGGAAUGAAACAACCCGAUUGCUUCAGUAAUGGAACGAGGCUUAAAUGCUUGUGACCAAAUUAAGAAAAAUGUUUAUUUAAAUGCAGGGCUAGGAGCUACAGAUAAGAAUCUAAUCCCACAGUGCUUCUCCAGCUUUGGGUGAGAAAUGGUAGCCCAUCCCAACAGCGGGACUAAUAGACCUCUCUACUGUUCCUUAGGUACUGAUAAAAGCUACAAGUGAACAAGUCAACAUUCCUUAGCUUGGUGUUGUUAUGGUCUUUCCUGUUUGUCUUAUGUCAUUUAUCACAGCUGUGUUUUGUCAUGUAAUUUGCAUUUUGAAGAAACACUGUGACUAGUUAUUUCAACAUAGUAGCAGUUGAGUGAAAGAUGUGGCAUUGAAGCAUCAUUCAUGCAUGCCAAUGUGAGUGCUUUAGUAAGGCUCAUUGGAGACCCCCUUAAAUUUGUAAGGUUAUUCAUUUUAUCAGCAACCCAACCUGCCAGUUCAGAAACUACAGUAUGGAAAUCUUUUAGUAGAAGAGCAUGUUCUGAUAGUAAACAGUCGUUUAUCUAUGUGUAAGAUAAAUGGUCACUGAGACUGUAUUUAACUUUUGAAUAAAAAUAGUGAUUAAAUAAAAAGAAUGUUUGAUCAACCUUUUGUUGGUCAGAUAAGAAUGCCUGUGAUAACUAGCAAAGCUGCAGUGUGGCGAAGGAAACUUCAUCUACAGAAAGUCCUUGUCAUACUAAUAAAUGAAAGCAUUCUACAAAGGAUUUAAAAAAUAUAAAAUAUAAAUAUAAAAUAUAAAUAUAAAUAUAAAUAUAAAUAUAAAUAUAAAUAUAAAUAUAAAAUAUAUAAAAUAUAUAUAUAUAUAAAUAUAAAUAUAUA
ensembl:lncRNA